AAAUUGAAGAGUUUGAUCAUGGCUCAGAUUGAACGCUGGCGGCAGGUCUAACACAUGCAAGUCGAACGGUAACAGAAAGCAGCUUGCUGCUUUGCUGACGAGUGGCGGACGGGUGAGUAAUGUCUGGGAAACUGCCUGAUGGAGGGGGAUAACUACUGGAAACGGUAGCUAAUACCGCAUAACGUCGCAAGACCAAAGA
rnacentral:rRNA from 1 species